rnacentral:rRNA from 1 species
AUUGAACGCUGGCGGCAGGCCUAACACAUGCAAGUCGAACGGUAACAGGAAACAGCUUGCUGUUUCGCUGACGAGUGGCGGACGGGUGAGUAAUGUCUGGGAAACUGCCUGAUGGAGGGGGAUAACUACUGGAAACGGCAGCUAAUACCGCAUAACGUCGCAAGACCAAAGAGGGGGACCCUCGGGCCUCUUGCCAUCGGAUGUGCCCAGAUGGGAUUAGCUUGUUGGUGGGGUAACGGCUCACCAAGGCGACGAUCCCUAGCUGGUCUGAGAGGAUGACCAGCCACACUGGAACUGAGACACGGUCCAUACUCCUACGGGAGGCAGCAGUGGGGAAUAUUGCACAAUGGGCGCAAGCCUGAUGCAGCCAUGCCGCGUGUAUGAAGAAGGCCUUCGGGUUGCAAAGUACUUUCAGCGGGGAGGAAGGGAGUAAAGUUAAUACCUUUGCUCAUUGACGUUACCCGCAGAAGAAGCACCGGCUAACUCCGUG